rnacentral:rRNA from 1 species
AUACGGAGGAUGCGAGCGUUAUCCGGAUUUAUUGGGUUUAAAGGGUGCGUAGGCUGUGCGUUAAGUCAGGGGUGAAAUGCCGUCGCUCAACGACGGAGCUGCCCUUGAUACUGGCGUGCUGGAGUACGGAUGCCGUUGGAGGCAUGAGUGGUGUAGCGGUGAAAUGCUUAGAUCUCACUCAGAACACCGAUUGCGAAGGCAUCUGACGAAUCCGUCACUGACGCUGAGGCACGAAAGCGUGGGGAUAGAACAGGAUUAGAUGCCCUGGUAUGCCACGCCGUAAACGAUGAUGACUAACCGUCGGCGAUAGACAGCCGGUGGCCAAGCGAAAGCGAUAAGUCAUCCACCUGGGGAGUACGUCGGCAACGAUGAAACUCAAAGGAAUUGGCGGGG